AAUGAACGCUGGCGGCAGGCCUAACACAUGCAAGUCGAACGGAUCCUUCGGGAUUAGUGGCGGACGGGUGAGUAACGCGUGGGAACAUACCCAAAGGUACGGAAUAGCCUCGGGAAACUGGGAGUAAUACCGUAUGUGCUCGAAAGAGGAAAGAUUUAUCGCCUUUGGAUUGGCCCGCGUUGGAUUAGGUAGUUGGUGGGGUAAUGGCCUACCAAGCCGACGAUCCAUAGCUGGUUUGAGAGGAUGAUAAGCCACAAUGAGGCUGAGAAACGGCACAGACUCCUACGGGAGGCAGCAGUGAGAAAUCUUAGACAAUGGGGGAAACCCUGAUCUAGCCAUGCCGCGUGAUCGAUGAAGGCCUUAGGGUUGUAAAGAUCUUUCAGGUGGGAAGAUAAUGACUGUACCACCAGAAGAAGCCCCGGCUAACUCCGUGCCAGCCGCCGCGGUAA
rnacentral:rRNA from 1 species